ensembl:lncRNA
CACAAUUGUUUAAUUGAUGCUCUAUGAGAUAUUCAUUUGAUAGCUGUGUUUACUGUUUGGUGGAAAAAAACAUUUUUGAGAAGAAUUUGUGUAGUUUUGACAAAAUGAUUAACUCUUCUCAGGUGAGUGUUUAGAGCUUUGAGAAAAUGAUCUAUAGUUUCAGAAAACGUGUUUAAACGAUUGAGAAAAACUGUAAACACAGACAGAAGUAAUUUAAAACAACUCUUACAACCCUUUAAACUUGGUUAUUUAUAUGAACCAUAACAGGUGUUAGUCUCUUUGUCUCCUUGUACUGACCUAUGCAUGUUGAUCUGUAGCCUCUGACAUAUAACUAUCUUGACUUGUCUGUGAGUCUUACAAGUAUUUUAAGUUGUGUGAUAGGACUGGGUAAGCUGCAUAUGAAUUACCCUUCUUGGGAUCAAUAAAGUAGACAGAAUCUGAAUCUUGGUUUCAAACAGACAAUGAAUAGAUACAUAGUUGGUUAUUAUCAGAUCCCACUGAUACUGAUGUUCAAUAGUCUGUGUGUGUGCACAUACAGGUGAGUGUGUGUGUGUGUGUGUGUGUGUGUGUGUGUGUGUGUGUGUGUGUGUGUGUGUGUGUGUGUGUGUGUGUGUGUCUGUGUGUGUGUGUUUGUGUGUGUACAGUAUGUGUGUGAUUUCUCCACGGACAACACCAGUAGUGUUCACGAUGGAGUUAAUGCCUUUAAGUUUUAUCUAUGUUACCUUUAGUCACGUUUAGUCACGUGACUAAAAGGUAUAUAAAUGAAAUUGCUUAACUUGCUAACUUGCCAAUUAGAUGAGCCGAUUACCCAAACAGCUAUAGAUAAUGUUAUGUGGGUUAGCCCAGCGCUCGUAUCCAUGGUCAAAACAAUCAUGCUUCAAAUAACUUUAAUAAAGAGAAUUACAAACAUCCAUAAAUCCUUGUUCUUGUUUUUCUAGAAGAGUCCAGCAGGAGAGAGCAGACUCCCCUGGACCAAGCUGUGUCUCCAUGAAGAGUGACUCGUCUAUGGCUAUACCUCUUAACUUUAAAGAUGGAAAUCAGUCUAUUGAGAAGAGGUAAGGGUUUACCAGAUAUUAUAAAGAUACAGCUUCUAUCAAACAUCCAUAAAUCCUUGUUCUUGUUUUUCUAGAAGAGUCCUGCAGACGAGAGCAGACUCCCCUGGACCAAGCUGUGUCUCCAUGAAGAGUGACUCGUCUAUGGCUAAUCCUCUUAACUUUAAAGAUGGGAAUCAGUCUAUUGAGAAGAGGUAAGGCUUUACCAGAUAUUAUAAAGAUACAGCAUCUAUCAAACAUCCAUUUAUCCUGGUUUUUGUUCUUCCAG